rnacentral:rRNA from 1 species
AUGAAAAGAGUAGAGAGGGAGAGAAGAAACCCAGCAGCCUUGCAGCCCAGCAGCCAGGCCGGCCUGCUUCCCUGCAGUUCAUUUGGCCCAAGGCCCAGCCGCGCCUUUAACCCUAGCCCCUCACCACACUCUCCCGAUCCCCAGAUCUCUCCCUUCGUUCUCCUCCUAGCGCCGCCACUCACAGGGAGAGAGAGGAGUAGAGCCCUCGCGCCGCCCCUCCCCUAUGCUUCUCCUGCUGCAAAGCUCCGCCACGUCGGCGACCCCUCCGACCGCCUUGCCGCCUUCCCCGCACCCCUUCUCCUCCCCGACUUAUCCUCGCCCGCCUCCUCAUCUACCCAGCAUCGCCGCCUCGUCAGCUCCUCCGCCGGAUGUCGCCUCUGUCAAAGCCGGCAGCAACAACAGCUGCACCCUCCCCGAUGCCAUCUCAUGCUCGCCUCCGACCCGAUUCGCUGCCGUCGCCAUCCUUCGCGCCUCCAUGCGGUUCCCCUCACCGCACCUCUUCGAGCAGGAGCUCCGCCUCCCCUGCUCCGCGCCAACCGGUGCCGAGCGACGCUCCUCCCGGCCUCCUCGCACCCAUCCGCCCCUGCUGGCAUUGCUCAGCUCCGGCCCCGACCUCCGUCUCUCAACAGCAGUGUUGCCUGCUGCUGUUUCGCCCGUGCUGGUGACCCCUCGGGCCGCCGUGUUGCCAUUUGCUGGAGAUCGCGCCAUCUUCUUGCCUCUUGCCUCCAUCUCCGCUGUGGACAUGGUGCCGAAGACCAGCAGCUCUGUCCGCCUCCAUGCGCCUCACCUACUGCUUGCCUCUGGUCGCCACCGAGACCCUCAAGUCCUACCCAGAGCCCAAGUGUGAAGACUCCGUGGAUGCGCAUCUCACUUGUGCCACUUUGGAUCGCCAAGACCGUCAAGAAUCGAGACUGCUCGGGACCAUGUCGUCUCGUCAGAAGGUCAAGACCGUUUCGGGAUUCACCAAGUACCACUACGACCCGUGUACAACUACCUUCGCCAAGACCGGACCGACAAGUACCCCGACAACGUGUGUACCACUACCGUCGACCUCGAAGACCCCAUGGACAUCAAGUUCCUCGCCAUGACCCUGAACAUCUACCAUCUACGAAACAUGAACGACUACUUCCUCUACAUUUUACCAAACUCGAACCGCUCCGAAAAUGCACGCUUCAAAGUUGCAGGUACAGGUUAUGCGAUGAUCAUGGCGCGGGAGAGAUGUUUGCUUGUUUUGGAGUUCUUCUUCUGCUUCUUCUUUGA